GUAGGGGGCAAGCGUUGUCCGGAAUCAUUGGGCGUAAAGCGCGCGUAGGCGGCCCGGUAAGUCCGCUGUAAAAGUCAGGGGCUUAACCCUUGAACGCCGGUGGAUACUGCCGGGCUAGAGUCCGGAAGAGGCGAGUGGAAUUCCUGGUGUAGCGGUGGAAUGCGCAGAUAUCAGGAGGAACACCGAUAGCGAAGGCAGCUCGCUGGGACGGUACUGACGCUGAGGCGCGAAAGCGUGGGGAGCGAACAGGAUUAGAUACCCUGGUAGUCCACGCCGUAAACGAUGGGCACUAGGUGUGGGAGGUGUCGACUCCUCCCCGUGCCCGUCGCUAACGCACUAAGUGCCCCCGCCUGGGGGAGUACGGCCGCAAGGCUA
rnacentral:rRNA from 1 species